rnacentral:rRNA from 1 species
AGACGGAGGGGGCUAGCGUUGUUCGGAAUUACUGGGCGUAAAGCGCGCGUAGGCCGAUUGAUCAGUCAGAGGUGAAAUCCCAGGGCUCAACCCUGGAACUGCCUCAUAAACUCCUGGUCUUGAGUUCGAGAGAGGUGAGUGGAAUUCCGAGUGUAGAGGUGAAAUUCGUAGAUAUUCGGAGGAACACCAGUGGCGAAGGCGGCUCACUGGCUCGAUACUGACGCUGAGGUACGAAAGUGUGGGGAGCAAACAGGAUUAGAAACCCCGGUAGUCC